rnacentral:rRNA from 1 species
UCACUCGAUAUGCGAUCCGUAGGAUGGCGUUUCACAAGCGAAAGCGUUAAGUGAGCCACCUUGGGACUACGUCGGCAACGAUGAAACUCAAAGUAUUUGACGGGUGUCCGCACAAGCGGUGGAGCAUGUGGUUUAAUUCGAUGAUACGCGAGGAACCUUACCUGUGCUAGUAUGCGAGUGACCGCCCCUGAAAGGCUCCUUUCCUUCGGGACACAAAGCAAGGUGCUGCAUGGCUGUCGUCAGCUCGUCCCGUGAGGUGUUGGGUUAAGUCCCGCAACGAGCGCAACCCUUGUCCUUAGUGCACAGCACUUCGGGUGGGGACUCUAAGGAGACUGCCGGCGCAAGCCGCGAGGAAGGUGGGGAUGACGUCAAGUCAUCAUGGCCUUUAUGCCCAGGGCUACACACGUGCUACAAUGGCCAGUACAGAGUGUAUCGAAGCCGCGAUGUGGAGCCAAUCCCAGCAAGCUGGUCCCAGUUCGGAUUGGAGUCUGGAGCUCGACUCCAUGAAGGUGGAUCGCUAGUA